ACCAUACCGUCUCUUCCUCACGCCAGAGCGCACAGCCGGUUACAACAAGCUGCGAGCACCCACAUUUUCUUCAUGGCCGAGCGAGUGGUGCAGAGCUUUGAGGACAUACUUAUUGAUUGGGAGAAACGGACUAACACCGGAACAGGACGGGACCGGAAUCUAUAAAAGAUAAGAGGAGAGAAGUUGUGCGGAGGCAGACUGGGAGAGGCUGGAGUGGUGAGGAUGGUGCUGAGCGUGGACAGGCAGGCGGGUGAGGAGAUCGGAGACCUGAGGAUCCUUGAGCGGUGAGACGGGAAACAACUCCAGACCAGACAUGCCUCAUAAGGAGAGGAGGCGGGAGCAGCGACAGAAAGAGCUAUGUGAGGCAGCUAAAGACAGUGGGUCCCUCACCAGCAGGAUAAAAAAAAAGAGUACAGGUAAGUUGCAUUGUAGGAGCUAAAAGCAGUGUUUUGUGUACGUGCAUGUUGACAUGUUGCUUAUCAAUACCAGCCGCACACGUGCUGUGCAACUUCUUGCUUAUCAAGCCCAGCUGCUGAGUACAUGCUCCACAACAUGUUGUUCAGUCCAGCUUAUGUAAGUCUCAACUACUUUUGACCAUAUUAGGAGGUGGAAGUAGGACCCCAUCAUUUCUCAGAACCAAAGGGAGGUGGGGGUUGAAGAGUAAAUGAUGCUGAGUGGUGUAGGAGAAAGUGGGCUUUUGCAGAAGGAUCUCCAGCCGAGGUGUUUAGAUCGAAGCUGGACGCUGUCCCCAUGAAGUGUUGGUGAUGUAUGGAUGAGUAGUGUAAAUAAACGCCCCACGCUGAGUUUGGACAAAACUUGUCUCUUUCUUGUGUUUGAUAAGGAUAAAGA